AUUGAACGCUGGCGGCAGGCCUAACACAUGCAAGUCGAACGCGUGGCGGACGGGUGAGUAAUAUGUCUGAAAGUUCGCCGUAGCGGGGGAGAACUACUGUGAACAGUAGCUAAUACCGCCUACCAGCGGGGCUGCCCAGAUGGGAUUAGCUAGUGGGUGGGGUAAAGGCUCACCAAGGCGACGAGCCCUAGCUGGUCUGAGAGGAGGACCAGCCACACUGGAACUGAGACACGGUCCAGACUCCUACGGGAGGCAGCAGUGGGGAAUAUUGCACAAUGGGGGAAAGCCUGAUGCAGCCAUGCCGCGUGUAUGAAGAAGGCCUUCGGGUUGUAAAGUACUUUCAGCGGGGAGGCGGUAUCUGCAGAAUAAGCACCGGCUAACUCCGUGCCAGCAGCCGCGGUAAUUC
rnacentral:rRNA from 1 species